GCCUGGGUGGCUCAGUCAGUUGAGCGUCCGACUUCGGCUCGGGUCACGAUCUCACGGUUCCGGGGUUCGAGCCCCGCGUCGGGCU
rfam:Felis catus isolate Cinnamon breed Abyssinian chromosome E3, whole genome shotgun sequence.